GCUCCGGUGGCCUAGUGGUUAGAGCGUCCGCCUCGGAUGCGGGAGGUCGUGGGUUCGAUGCCAGGUCGAGUCA